rnacentral:ncRNA from 2 species
UAAAAUCACUAGGGGUGCCAUAAACGGCUGAGAGAGGUAAUGAACCUUAACCCUUAUAACCUGAUCUAGUUUGGACUAGCGGAGGGAAGUGUAUACGAAUCAGU